GAGAAUUACAGUCGCGGAAAAAGAUUCGGCGAUAAGUUUUGGAAUUAUUUUGAGACGGACUUCCGUUCCGUAAGUUUUCUGUUUUUACGAGUUUUGCUCGUCGCGGCGCGCGAGAGCUGUGGGGCGUGAGAGAAAAUAUCUAGAUAUUUGUUAAAGUAAAAUGGAUGGCUAGGAUUUGAUCUAGAGAAAGUGCUUUUGAUCCAAUGGCCAAGAGUGACCAAGACCAAUGUAUAGUAAGGAGGUUUAGCUUCUUUGGGGGACUUAGAAAAAUCUGAAUUUUUCCAUUUCUCUUCCUCUCCAAACCGUGAAGCCAUCCCCCAUUUUCAUACCUUCACCAAUUUUUCAUUUCAUCACCAAAUCAUCUCAUUCCAAGCUAGGGAAAUCCAUAGAACUUGCAAGGAAAUCACUUCUCUUAAGGGCGCACGAAUUGUUGCAUAACUCGGAAUCGUUUGUAAUUGGAAGUUUCGCCGAGACGAUGGAGCGCCAUCUGAGACCGUAGGCCGUGUGGACGGC